CAUCUUUUCCCACCAUUCAACUCACAGAGGUGCUAGCUCAGAUGAAUUUUCCAGCCUGCAAUUGGCUUUCGGAUGUUUAGUUACCAGUAUGAGGUCUGCUAGGUGUGACCACUGCGAGUUCCAGUGCAGGCUUGGAUGGAGGUCUGCUUGAGUUGGGGGCUAAGAAGGAGAGCAUUGCAGCCUGAAGCAAUAUGCCACAUUUUCAGUAGGACCUCAGUGUUUGGGAAAGAAAGUCAAAAGAUUAA